rnacentral:rRNA from 1 species
CGCGUGGAUAACCUGCCUCACACAGGGGGAUAACAGUUGGAAACGACUGCUAAUACCGCAUAAGCGCACAGCACCGCAUGGUGCAGUGUGAAAAACUCCGGUGGUGUGAGAUGGAUCCGCGUCUGAUUAGCUAGUUGGCGGGGUAACGGCCCACCAAGGCGACGAUCAGUAGCCGGCCUGAGAGGGCGACCGGCCACAUUGGGACUGAGACACGGCCCAG